UCCCUGAUAGCUCAGUUGGUAAAGAAUCUGCCUGCAAUGCAGAAGAGCCCAGUUUGAUUCCUGGGUUGGGAA
rfam:TPA: Bos taurus chromosome X, whole genome shotgun sequence.